GCCCCUGAUGACAUGACCUAAAAGGACCAUGUGGAGUGAGAAGGUUCCCGAAAUUUAUUGUUUAAAAAAAAAAAAAAAACUCUUUAAAAAAACGUUUAGCAGUGGAUUCUCGUCUCCUUUUUUCUCCAAACAUCUGAAUGUUUUCCCUGAAGAUCGUCUUGUCUCACAGUAAGUACAACCUUGUUAUGAGUAGUUAUUAGUUAGUUAAUUAGCAAGUUUUAUAAUAAUUAAACAGUUUAAAUGUCUUCUUUUUUUUUUCUAGACAAACAUUUGAGAUGUGUGUCCGAUUUUUCAGUUGUCCUGACAUGGGUGACAAAAUACAACUAAGGGCCACUCAGUAACAUCACAUUUAUCUGACCUCAGAUAUACGAAGAAAGGCAGCUGAAGAUGAGGGAGCUCUUUAUCAGAACCAGCCUGGGUAAGAAUGUACUGUUUCCACUUUCUGUCUGCACUUUUAUCUGUGUUUUUCAGUCCAGGAGAAGGAUGUUGGACCUUGACACAAAUAUCCCUGGUUGCAGAUGAGUGAGAAGACCGGGGUUGAUGGAGUCACAUGUCUGGACUGAGACCACUGCUGCGUGGGAGGUCGAUUUCCCAAAGACUUAAACAUGCUCAGUAACUAUAAACAGUUGGAAGUUUACUACAAACACAACCCCCACCAGCUAACCUGCCAACAAGGACGAUCCCUCCUCCUCCCUGCAAGUUUCAAUGAACAGGAAAAGCACACUCCUUGGUUUCAUGAGGGACUUCAGGGUCACGAGUGUCCUUUGAUGCAGCUAAGGUGGCCGCCAUAGAUGUGAGAUGACAUUGUGAGUGAAGUAAGACCCAUAGCGCUGGGUCAGAAGAGCCUUUGUCCUGCACAUCUCGUGCACAAACAUGCACGUCAUAUUUUUUGGCACUUUCCAGUUUUUCUGUGCCAACCUGAGAGAUCUCUGUGUGUGUUCAAGGACACGGUGUAUUUCAGGGGCAUUGUCCGGCUCAAUCAUUCAUUGAAACCCUCUCUGUUAAACUUUAUGGCUUUGAUUUAGAUUUCUACCAGCUGCAGGAACAAUGAGGUGGGGCUUCCAGUUGUAACUGCAAAUCUUUUUUUAUUCCUAUUAGUGUAUCAGCUGGAGCAUGUAUUUGUAUGCAUGAGGGGUCAGUAGCAGCCAAACUUUACCCAAGUUUUGGCUGUGAAACCUGAAUCUCACCUGAAUGCUGAGAGAACUGCAAAUUGGAUCUCAGAUGGGAUUUUUUUUUGUUUUUCUCAAGAUGAUUAAAGUAUAUCAAUCCAUUAGCCACUGUGUGGGAGUAGCAGGCACUAGGCCAAGAGCCACUUUAAGCUCAUUCAGUGUUGCAGCAGUAUAAAUCCAUGCUAAAUACAAUGGUUUAGCAUUGUGAAAGACAUUCCAGUGCUGCUCUUUUGACUUUUCCUCAGGUGAGAGGACUUCAAAAUCAAUUACAAAGUCGUUUUUUGUUUUUCUUACAGGGCACAUUGACCUCAGACAGAGAGGGGAGGCUAAAGGCUCAGUGGAUUCCUCCCUUUGCA